GAUUUCUGAUGUGGCGCACCUAGCCCGCCACGGUUACGUGUGUGAGUGCCGGGAUGCGCACGUCACUUUUCUGGUAAACUAUUGUGCUCUUCACUGAGUGCGAUAGGUAGCCAGAUAUUUUACUUUGAAAAAAUUAGAGUGUUUAAAGCAGGCGUUUGCUAUGAAUACAUUAGCAUGGAAUAAUAAGUUAGGACUUCGGUUCUAUUUUGUUGGUUUUUAGGACUGAAGUAAUGAUUGAUAGGGAUAGUUGGGGGUGCUAGUAUUCAGCGGCCAGAGGUGAAAUUCUCGGAUUCGCUGAAGACUAACUUAUGCGAAAGCAUU
rnacentral:rRNA from 1 species